rnacentral:rRNA from 1 species
UGGUGGAGCGAUUUGUCUGGUUAAUUCCGAUAACGAACGAGACUCUGGCCUAUUAAAUAGUUCGCCGAUUCCGAUCUGUCGGCGUUAGCUUCUUAGAGGGACAAGUGGCUUUUAGCCACGCGAGAUUGAGCAAUAACA